AUCGCUCCUGAAAUCGGGUGAGGCUAUCCGCUGAAUUUAAGCAUAUAAUUAAGCGGCAGAAAAGAAAAUAACUAU
rnacentral:rRNA from 1 species